CCUACGGGAGGCAGCAGUGGGGGAUAUUGCACAAUGGGGGGAACCCUGAUGCAGCGACGCCGCGUGGGUGAAGAAGCGCCUCGGCGCGUAAAGCCCUGUCAGCAGGGAAGAAAAUGACGGUACCUGAAGAAGAAGCCCCGGCUAACUACGUGCCAGCAGCCGCGGUAAUACGUAGGGGGCAAGCGUUAUCCGGAUUUACUGGGUGUAAAGGGGGCGCAGACGGCGAUGCAAGCCAGGAGUGAAAGCCCGGGCCCAACCCCGGGACUGCUCGUGGAACUGCGUGGCUGGAGUGCAGGAGGGGCAGGCGGAAUUCCUGGUGUAGCGGUGAAAUGCGUAGAUAUCAGGAGGAACACCGGUGGCGAAGGCGGCCUGCUGGACUGCAACUGACGUUGAGGCCCGAAAGCGUGGGGAGCAAACAGGAUUAGAUACCCCAGUAGUC
rnacentral:rRNA from 1 species